rnacentral:tRNA from 1 species
GCUCCCGUGGCCUAAUGGUAAGGCGUGUGACUUCUACAUCGCUUAAUUGAGAGGAGUCUCAAGUACGCGGUAGAGGUAUCCCAAGAUUGCGGGUUCGAGCCCCGCCGGGAGCU